UGGGGAAUUUUGGACAAUGGGCGCAAGCCUGAUCCAGCCAUGCCGCGUGCGGGAAGAAGGCCUUCGGGUUGUAAACCGCUUUUGUCAGGGAAGAAAUCUUCCGAGUUAAUACCUCGGGAGGAUGACGGUACCUGAAGAAUAAGCACCGGCUAACUACGUGCCAGCAGCCGCGGUAAUACGUAGGGUGCAAGCGUUAAUCGGAAUUACUGGGCGUAAAGCGUGCGCAGGCGGUUUGUAAGACAGAGGUGAAAUCCCCGGGCUCAACCUGGGAACUGCCUUUGUGACUGCAAGGCUUGAGUGCGGCAGAGGGGGAUGGAAUUCCGCGUGUAGCAGUGAAAUGCGUAGAUAUGCGGAGGAACACCGAUGGCGAAGGCAAUCCCCUGGGCCUGCACUGACGCUCAUGCAC
rnacentral:rRNA from 1 species